rnacentral:misc_RNA from 1 species
AAGUCGUAACAAGGUAACCGUAGGUGAACCUGCGGUUGGAUCAUUACGAAAUUAAAACUCUGUGGGCUAGGUUGGACGUGGUUCUCUUUUGAACUCGUCCAGCUCCCCAGAACCACACCUUUGUGAACGUUUAACGUAUUUUGGCGAACCCCAAGCGUGUGAAAAUCGCGCUAGGAAUUUUUGCUUAGAGAACUUGAAAAUUUUCUCCUAGCCGAAAUUUUGGAUCGCCAGCCUUUGAUACACUCCUAUAUACUUUAUAUCUACUGAAACCAAAAAGAGAAACAAUGAGAAACAACUUUAGACAACGGAUCUCUUGGCUCUC